rnacentral:rRNA from 1 species
UACGUAGGGUGCGAGCGUUGUCCGGAAUUACUGGGCGUAAAGAGCUCGUAGGUGGUUUGUCGCGUUGUUCGUGAAAACUCACAGCUCAACUGUGGGCGUGCGGGCGAUACGGGCAGACUAGAGUACUGCAGGGGAGACUGGAAUUCCUGGUGUAGCGGUGAAAUGCGCAGAUAUCAGGAGGAACACCGAUGGCGAAGGCAGGUCUCUGGGCCGAUACUGACGCUGAGGAGCGAAAGCGUGGGGAGCGAACAGG